GGUCGAGUGACCCCGCGCCGAAAAUGUACCGGGGCUAAACAUAUUACCGAAACUGUGGAUGAACCUCUUUAGAGGUUCGUGGUAGGAGAGCGUUCUAAGGGCGGUGAAGUCAGACCGGAAGGACUGGUGGAGCGCUUAGAAGUGAGAAUGCCGGUAUGAGUAGCGAAAGAAGGGUGAGAAUCCCUUCCACCGAAUAUCUAAGGUUUCCUGAGGAAGGCUCGUCCGCUCAGGGUUAGUCGGGACCUAAGCCGAGGCCGAUAGGCGUAGGCGAUGGACAACAGGUAGAGAUUCCUGUACCAGUGCUAAUUGUUUAACCGAUGGGGUGACACAGAAGGAUAGGGAAUCGCACGAAUGGAAAUGUGCGUCCAAGCAGUGAGUGUGAGAAGUAGGCAAAUCCGCUUCUCGCGAAGCAUGAGCUGUGAUGGGGAAGGAAAUUAAGUACGGAAGUUCC
rnacentral:rRNA from 1 species